AAAACUUUCAACAACGGAUCUCUUGGUUCUGGCAUCGAUGAAGAACGCAGCGAAAUGCGAUAAGUAAUGUGAAUUGCAGAAUUCAGUGAAUCAUCGAAUCUUUGAACGCACAUUGCGCCCCUCGGUAUUCCGGGGGGCAUGCCUGUUCGAGCGUCAUUA
rnacentral:rRNA from 35 species